GGUGCGGGGUUCCCGGGCUGCCCCCGCCACCGCCCUCCCCUCCGGCUGACACUUGUCGUGCGCAGACAACACGCACUGUACCAAACAAUUCAGCCCGAGCCCUGCUGCAAACUCGCCGCGUUAUUUUUCUCCUCCGCUUGUUUAUGGCUGACGCUAUCUCGCCUGCACCGCUCCCUCGGUUUCAUUAUCUCUGCUCGCAGAUGGCCCGUGGCUUUCCCUCCUUCGCGGGGUUUGUGCUCGUGGUACAGCUCCAUCUCCCCCUCCCAGCUCUCUGUCCCUCACCCUGGCUCACAGGUGAGCCUUUCCCAGAAAAGCACUUCACUCCAGCAGUCCUGCGUUCUGCAGUGCCUCUUCCCAAACAGAUGAUGAAUUUAUUUAAUCUGGAGGAUUAA
rnacentral:lncRNA from 1 species